AUUGAACGCUGGCGGCAGGCCUAACACAUGCAAGUCGAGCGAGCGGCGGACGGGUGAGUAAUGUAUGGGGAUCUGCCCGAUAGAGGGGGAUAACUCCUGGAAACGGUGGCUAAUACCGCAUACUAUCGGCUGAACCCCUAUGGGAUUAGUUAGUAGGUUGGGUAAAGGCUCACCUAGGGGACGAUCCCUCGCUGGUCUUAGAGGAUGAUCAGCCACACUGGGACUGAGACACGGCCCAGACUCCUACGGGAGGCAGCAGUGGGGAAUAUGGCACAAUGGGCGCAAGCCGGAUGCAGCCAUGCCGCGUGUAUGAAGAAGGCCUUAGGGUUGUAAAGUACUUUCAGCGGGGAGGCGUUACCCGCAGAAGAAGCACCGGCUAACUCCGUGCCAGCAGCCGCGGUAAUAC
rnacentral:rRNA from 1 species